CAGUAGCCGCGGGAAUACGUAUGUCACAAGCGUUAUCCGGAUUUAUUGGGCGUAAAGCGCGUCUAGGUGGUUAUGUAAGUCUGAUGUGAAAAUGCAGGGCUCAACUCUGUAUUGCGUUGGAAACUGUGUAACUAGAGUACUGGAGAGGUAAGCGGAACUACAAGUGUAGAGGUGAAAUUCAUAGAUAUUUGUAGGAAUGCCGAUGGGGAAGCCAGCUUACUGGACAGAUACUGACGCUGAAGCGCGAAAGCGUGGGUAGCAAACAGGAUUAGAUACCCCCGUAGUCCCUGUCUCUUAUACC
rnacentral:rRNA from 1 species